GUCGUUUUCAAUCACGUUUAUAUUUAAUAAUGUAAUCGUAUCGUAAUUGCCGAAAACGAAUAUCAAACUAUCUGUGACAAUCACGGUCAUCUCGAACGUCUUUCCAGCGGCAGCCUCGAAAGAUCGGUCGCAGCGUUGCCUUGUCGCAAGCUACAACUAUAUCGAUGUAUAUAUAUUGUAGAAGUUUUGGACGGUUGCUUGGAUAUCAAUCGGGCAGCUCCAUUAUGCAUCACGAAGCUUACCCCAGCCAGCUCAAGAAUAAACGUCGAGGAGGGUGUUAGCCUGAGUUCACCACAUAGGGGAAAGUUUAAGUAUUUCAAGGCAACGAAUAUUAUAUUGGAACGUUGAAUUCAUGCGGUCUUAAUAAAUCGAGUAUAAGACGUUACCAGCGAAUCAACUCGAUAAAUUAAUCGAAUUUCGUCAUAAUUUAGUUUUCAUCGUUAUUAAAUAGAAAAUACACAGUCAAAAUUGACCUAUCUACAAUUACGUUAUUAUAUACUUUACUUAUGUAUAUAUUUUAUUUUAUACUUUCGAUCAAAUUUAAAAUAAAUUUCAAACAAAUUCCAAAUCUAGGUUGUAAAGAAUUUAAGACUACGAAAACUUUUUUCUUGCGUUUUUAAUUUCAAGAUGUCGCUUUUUCUAGAAAUUUUAUGAAAUUGACGUAGAAAGAAAGAAUUACCAAAAUACCUACAAAUGCAUUACAAAAUAUUUUACAUGUUAUUACAUCUAAAAAUGCGAUUGCCACUAAUUCUAACAUA
rnacentral:misc_RNA from 1 species